UACAGAGGUCCCGAGCGUUGUUCGGAUUCACUGGGCGUAAAGGGUGCGUAGGUGGUGAGGUAAGUCGGAUGUGAAAUCUCCGGGCUCAACCCGGAAACUGCAUUGGAAACUACCUUGCUUGAGGGUUUGAGGGGGGACUGGAAUUCUCGGUGUAGCAGUGAAAUGCGUGGAUAUCGAGAGGAACACCGGUGGCGAAGGCAGCCCCCUGGGUUAACACUGACGCUCAGGCACGAAAGCGUGGGGAGCAAACAGG
rnacentral:rRNA from 1 species